rnacentral:rRNA from 1 species
AGCGAACGCCGGCGGCAGGCCUAACACAUGCAAGUCGAACGGAUCCUUCGGGAUUAGUGGCGGACGGGUGAGUAACACGUGGGAACGUGCCCUUUGGUUCGGAACAACUCAGGGAAACUUGAGCUAAUACCGGAUGUGCCCUUCGGGGGAAAGAUUUAUCGCCAUUGGAGCGGCCCGCGUCUGAUUAGCUAGUUGGUGAGGUAAAGGCUCACCAAGGCGACGAUCAGUAGCUGGUCUGAGAGGAUGAUCAGCCACAUUGGGACUGAGACACGGACCAAACUGCGACGGGAGGCAGCAGUGGGGAAUCUUGCGCAAUGGUCGAAAGCCUGACGCAUCCAUGCCGCGUGAAUGAUGAAGGUCUUAGGAUUGUAAAAUUCUUUCACCGGGGACGAUAAUGACGGUACCCGGGGAAGAAGCCCCGGCUAACUUCGUGCCAGCAGCCGCAGUAACAC